rnacentral:tRNA from 1 species
GCGGGUGUGGCGGAACUGGUAGACGCGUAAGAUUAAGGAUCUUAUGGCCAAUUGUGGCCGUGAAGGUUCAAGUCCUUUCACCCGCA